rnacentral:snRNA from 1 species
GGUACAUAUACUAAAAUUGGAACGAUACAGAGAAGAUUAGCAUGGCCCCUGCGCAAGGAUGACACGACGGUGACUUUUCAUCAUCCAAUUUAC